GAAUAUUGGACAAUGGGCGAAAGCCUGAUCCAGCCAUGCCGCGUGAGUGAUGAAGGCCCUAGGGUUGUAAAGCUCUUUUGUGCGGGAAGAUAAUGACGGUACCGCAAGAAUAAGCCCCGGCUAACUCCGUGCCCGCAGCCGCGGUAAUACGGAGGAGGCUAGCGUUGUUCGGAAUUACUGGGCGUAAAGCGCGCGUAGGCGGCUUUGUAAGUUAGAGGUGAAAGCCCGGAGCUUAACUCCGGAACUGCCUUUAAGACUGCAUCGCUAGAAUUGUGGAGAGGUGAGUGGAAUUCCGAGUGUAGAGGUGAAAUUCGUAGAUAUUCGGAAGAACACCAGUGGCGAAGGCGACUCACUGGACACAUAUUGACGCUGAGGUGCGAAAGCGUGGGGAGCAAAC
rnacentral:rRNA from 1 species